ACGCUGGCGGCGUGCUUAACACAUGCAAGUCGAACGGUAAGGCCCUUCGGGGUACACGAGUGGCGAACGGGUGAGUAACACGUGGGUGAUCUGCCCUGCACGUUCGGGAUAAGCCGUGGGAAACUGGGUCUAAUACCGGAUAGGACUCCUGGCUUCAUGGUUGGGGGUGUAAAGCUUUUGCGGUGUGGGAUGGGCCCGCGGCCUAUCAGCUUGUUGGUGGGGUAAUGGCCUACCAAGGCGACGACGGGUAGCCGGCCUGAGAGGGUGACCGGCCACACUGGGACUGAGAUACGGCCCAGACUCCUACGGGAGGCAGCAGUGGGGAAUAUUGCACAAUGGGCGCAAGCCUGAUGCAGCGACGCCGCGUGAGGGAUGACGGCCUUCGGGUUGUAAACCUCUUUCAAUAGGGACGAAGCGCAAGUGACGGUACCUAUAGAAGAAGGACCGGCCAACUACGUG
rnacentral:rRNA from 1 species